AGAGUUUGAUCCUGGCUCAGGAUGAACGCUGGCGGCGUGCCUAACACAUGCAAGUCGAACGGAGUGUUGAGAGCUUGCUUUUAACACUUAGUGGCGGACGGGUGAGUAAUGUAUGAGCAACCUGCCUUUCAGAGGGGGACAACAGUUGGAAACGACUGCUAAUACCGCAUAAAGUAUUUAGGAGGCAUCUCCUGAAUACCAAAGGAGCAAUCCGCUGAAAGAUGGGCUCAUAUCUGAUUAGCUAGUUGGUGAGGUAACGGCUCACCAAGGCUGCGAUCAGUAGCCGGACUGAGAGGUUGAACGGCCACAUUGGGACUGAGAUACGGCCCAGACUCCUACGGGAGGCAGCAGUGGGGAAUAUUGGGCAAUGGGCGAAAGCCUGACCCAGCAACGCCGCGUGAAGGAAGAAGGUCUUCGGAUUGUAAACUUCUUUUAUGAGGGACGAAGGACGUGACGGUACCUCAUGAAUAAGCCACGGCUAACUACGUGCCAGCAGCCGCGGUAAUACGUAGGUGGCAAGCGUUAUCCGGAUUUACUGGGUGUAAAGGGCGCGUAGGCGGGGAUGCAAGUCAGAUGUGAAAUCUAUGGGCUUAACCCAUAAACUGCAUUUGAAACUGUAUCUCUUGAGUGCUGGAGAGGUAGAUGGAAUUCCUUGUGUAGCGGUGAAAUGCGUAGAUAUAAGGAAGAACACCAGUGGCGAAGGCGAUCUACUGGACAGUAACUGACGCUGAGGCGCGAAAGCGUGGAGAGCAAACAGGAUUAGAUACCCUGGUAGUCCACGCUGUAAACGAUGAAUACUAGGUGUGGGGGGACUGACCCCCUCCGUGCCGCAGUUAACACAAUAAGUAUUCCACCUGGGGAGUACGGCCGCAAGGUUGAAACUCAGAGGAAUUGACGGGGGCCCGCACAAGCAGUGGAUUAUGUGGUUUAAUUCGAAGCAACGCGAAGAACCUUACCAGGGCUUGACAUCCAACUAACGAAGCAGAGAUGCAUUAGGUGCCCUUCGGGGAAAGUUGAGACAGGUGGUGCAUGGUUGUCGUCAGCUCGUGUCGUGAGAUGUUGGGUUAAGUCCCGCAACGAGCGCAACCCCUAUUGUUAGUUGCUACGCAAGAGCACUCUAGCGAGACUGCCGUUGACAAAACGGAGGAAGGUGGGGACGACGUCAAAUCAUCAUGCCCCUUAUGUCCUGGGCUACACACGUAAUACGAUGGCGUCCAACAAAGGGAAGCAAAACCGCGAGGUAGAGCAAAUCCCCAAAAGACGUCUCAGUUCGGAUUGCAGGCUGCAACUCGCCUGUAUGAAGUCGGAAUUGCUAGUAAUCGUGGAUCAGCAUGCCACGGUGAAUACGUUCCCGGGCCUUGCACACACCGCCCGUCA
rnacentral:rRNA from 1 species